rnacentral:rRNA from 1 species
GAUGAACGCUAGCUACAGGCUUAACACAUGCAAGUCGAGGGGAAACGCCAUCGAAAGCUUGCUUUUGAUGGGCGUCGACCGGCGCACGGGUGAGUAACGCGUAUCCAACCUGCCCAUCACUUGGGAAUAACCUUGCGAAAGUAAGACUAAUACCCAAUGACAUCCCACGAAGACAUCUGAAUGGGAUUAAAGAUUUAUCGGUGAUGGAUGGGGAUGCGUCUGAUUAGCUUGUUGGCGGGGUAACGGCCCACCAAGGCAACGAUCAGUAGGGGUUCUGAGAGGAAGGGCCCCCACAUUGGAACUGAGACACGGUCCAAACUCCUACGGGAGGCAGCAGUGAGGAAUAGUGAUCAAUGGGCGAGAGCCUGAACCAGCCAAGUAGCGUGCAGGAUGACGGCCCUAUGGGUUGUAAACUGCUUUUAUAAGGGAAUAAAGUGGGUCUCGUGAGACUUUUUGCAUGUACCUUAUGAAUAAGGACCGGCUAAUUCCGUG